GAUGAAGAACGCAGCGAAAUGCGAUACUUGGUGUGAAUUGCAGAAUCCCGUGAACCAUCGAGUCUUUGAACGCAAGUUGCGCCCGAAGCCACUAGGCCGAGGGCACGCCUGCCUGGGCGUCACACGUCGUUGCCCCCCCCCCAUCUACUCCUUCGGGAUUGCGGGGGGCGGAUGAUGGCCUCCCGUGCGCCUAGCCGCGCGGUUGGCAUAAAUACCAAGUCCUCGGCGACGCACGCCACGACAAUCGGUGGUUGCGAAACCUCGGUUGCCCGUCGUGUGCGUUCGUCGCGCAUCGAGGGGUCGAAAAAAUGCUCGGCUCCGGCUCGGCUUUCAACGCGACCCCAGGUCAGGCGGGGUUACCCGCUGAAUUUAAGCAUAUCAAUAAGCGGAGGA
rnacentral:misc_RNA from 1 species